ensembl:snRNA U6 U6 spliceosomal RNA
GUGAUGCUUUGACAGCACACGUACUACAGUUGGAACAACGCAGAGAAGAUUAGCAUGGCCCCCGGCAAGGGUGACACGCAAAUUCAUGAAGCAUUCCAUACUUUC